rnacentral:rRNA from 1 species
CAAUGCCGCGUGCAGGAAGAAGGCCUUCGGGUUGUAAACUGCUUUUGUACGGAACGAAACGGUCUGGGUUAAUACCCUGGGCUAAUGACGGUACCGUAAGAAUAAGCACCGGCUAACUACGUGCCAGCAGCCGCGGUAAU